CGUGUAGGCGGGAAUACAAGUCAGAUGUGAAAUACUGUGGCUCAACCACAGAACGGCAUCUGAAACUGUAUUUCUUGAGUACUGGAGAGGAAAGCGGAAUUCCUAGUGUAGCGGUGAAAUGCGUAGAUAUUAGGAGGAACACCGGUGGCGAAGGCGGCUUUCUGGACAGUAACUGACACUGAGACGCGAAAGCGUGGGGAGCAAACAGGAUUAGAUACCCUGGUAGUCC
rnacentral:rRNA from 1 species